CGAGGCUGUCUACGGACUGAACUAAUUGCUCGAGACUUCCUUGGAAAUACUUUAGAGGACUCUUCGGCCGUAUUGAUUCGAGCCAGCGCGCACGUUUCACCAGACGCUUAAGCCAACGGCCUCUUACCCUGCAGUCGCUCGUUAAGAAGGGACGGCCCGGGGGGGCACCAGGCCGCGAAGCGUCAGAGAAUACGCUGAAGCAUCGUGACCCUUCCUAACUACUUCAGCAUAGCGGAAUGACAUAAAGGCAGAAGAUGGCAGUAAAAAAAUCGAAGGGGCUUUUAUUCUAGCUACCGUAAGAUGAGGUUUCCACAUACUGAGGCAUUUUGGUUCUGCUCUUAAGUAACAUACCAAGAGACGAGGAAGAAAGAAAAUAUGUCAACAAAGUCAGUGUGUUUUCUGGCAGACUUCACAGGUAUGCUAAUGUCAACAAAGCAGUAAGCUUCAAACAAAACUCAUUUCGAUAAAGUCAUGAAGUUCCUCAUCCUGUGGCAUAAGAUAAACCUGGACCUGGGACCUAUCUCAUAUUCGGCUUCCUGGAAAACUUCACGAGCAAUCUUUCUAUGGCACCAAAAGGCACGACGAAGUUGUUAAUAAUUAGGCUUGGAACUUAGACUCCCUCUUUAAGCAAGGAAGCUAGUCCUUGCAAUUCAUCAGCUCAGAGUUACCCACUAGGAAGGAAUGGAAGCUAACAGCACAUCCUAAUAACUGUUUGGUUAAUUUGAGGAGGACAAUUGUCCAAGAGGCAAGUGGGAAAAAUGCUUGGAAAAUGAUCUUCAAGAAUGACAAUUCAAUAUUAUACAGACUCGAGGAUUUCAGUGUUGUAUUCAUAGCAGAAUUUUGAGCCUAUAAGUGGUGAACUGCCUGUCACUUUGAAAACAAAGGGAAUCUAAGUAUACACCACCUGCUGCUGGCUUGUUUUCACUUUAAUGAAAGGGCACUGAAAUUCAGCCUGGGGAAGGCGGUGUGGCCUACUGGAAAGCACCUGGGCCGAGCACGGGGCUGAGAAUUGGGAGAUCCG